GAAACUGCAAUGGAGAUAUCUACAUCGUCAUCUAUUAACACUCAUGAGGAUGUUGAGCAAGAAGUUAGCUCUCAGACUUUGAAGGUCCUGUGAAAUGAAGUGUAGGAUGAAGGUAUUGAUGCAUAUAUGGUAUAAUAAAAUAAAGUAGCGUUGGUUUCCUACUAUGAAUUGGUGAUUAAUGUGCAUACGUUAUUGCAUAUGAUGUGAGUUUUUAGAAACAAUAUUUUGAGAAAGUUGUAUUGUGGUCUCAGUUGGUUUAUUAUGCUUG
rnacentral:lncRNA from 1 species